rnacentral:rRNA from 1 species
GGGGUGACUGCGUACCUUUUGUAUAAUGGGUCAGCGACUUAUAUUUAGUAGCAAGGUUAAGUGAAUAACGGAGCCGUAGCGAAAGCGAGUGUUAACUGCGCGUUUAGUUGCUAGGUAUAGACCCGAAACCCGGUGAUCUAGCCAUGAGCAGGUUGAAGGUUGAGUAACAUCAACUGGAGGACCGAACCCACUAACUUUGAAAAGUUAGGGGAUGACUUGUGGCUGGGGGUGAAAGGCCAAUCAAACCGGGAGAUAGCUGGUUCUCCCCGAAAUCUAUUUAGGUAGAGCCUCGGACGAAUUCCAUUGGGGGUAGAGCACUGUUAAGGCUAGGGGGUCAUCCCGACUUACCAACCCUUUGCAAACUCCGAAUACCAAUGAGAACUAUCCGGGAGACACACGGCGG